rnacentral:lncRNA from 1 species
CAAGGAUUCCCCAAGCAAAAGAUGUCUUAAAAUACUGUCUAUUUGACAUUUGACUGUUUUUCAAUUUGAAAACAGUCAAAUUUCCUGACCAAUCAACACAUUACACGUGAGCGAGCAGGAAAAUCAGCAGAUAGCAAAAAAAACCUCCUGGUCGUCUAAACGGGUCGGGUAAACAUCUGACCCGAUUUGUCCGAUCCCAUGCACAACAAAACACGCCAAUCGCCAUCAACCACUACAAAGAUCUCACCUAACAGCCUAGAACAAAUCUGGGAGGCGGCCAUGGGAGAUCGGGGAAUCAACAGGUCAGCGACAAUCGUACACAAACUCCUCACCAUCAUCUCUCUUCACCUCUUUCAUUAACAAAAUCUGAAGGAAUUUUCUUCAUCUUCAAAAUAGAGAGAUCAAGAUCAGCUAUAAUUCUAGGAAAGAUACAUGGGGAUUAACAUAAAAAAUACAGGAAAAAUUCAGAAAACAUUCAGAAGCUUAUAGUGCAAGUGGUAGUCAUUUUCCAGUGUAAAUCCUAUAAAAUUCCAGUGUAAUUCCCAGAAAAUUACAGUGCAAAUCCCCAUGUAAUUAAAUUGUAGUGUAAAUUCUCCAUAAUUUCCCGUGUAAAUCCCCCAUAAAUACCAGUGUAAACAUGGGAAAAAUGAUGUAAUUACACUGUACAUACCUAGUAAUUUACACUGUAAAUCAUAAAAAAAAUACAGUGUAAAUCCCAAAAACUUGUGAAAUCUGGUGUAAAUUCCAGUGUAAACAUGAGACAAAUUAUGCAAUUACAUUGUAAGUACACAGUAAAUUCCAGUUUAACUGCACUGUACAUACCUAGUAAUUUACAUACAAAAAAUUGUAAAAUCUAGAAUUUCAGUGUGGGAUAAAUCUGGUGUAAAUUCCAGUGUAAACAUGAGACAAAUGAUGCGAUUACCUAGUAACCUGGUUUGUAAUACAAAAUGAACUAUCUAUCCAUGGUUACUUGCCACCGGCAGCAGCCAAACUUUACACACAAUUUCCUAGCUUUACAUUGUAAGUACAUGGUAAAUUCCAAUUUAAUUACACUGUACAUACCUAGAAUCUACAAAUUAAAUUCCAGUGUAAGUUACACCGGAAUGAUGUAGGUUACACAGUAAGUACCCUGUAAAAAUUCCAGUGUAAUUUACACUGUAGGUACUACUUACAGUGUAAAUUAAAUUGUAGGUAUCUACAAAUUAAAUUACAGUGUAAAUGCCAGGGAAAAAUGACAUUGUAGCUACCUAGAAAUUUCCACUGUAAAUCUCUAGAAAUUCCAGUGCAAAAAUCUAGGGGGUUUACACUAAGAAACCAGUAAAAUCCACAGUAAAAAUAAACUAGAAGAAAACUCAGGUAAUUACACUUUGACCUAGUAAUUUGCAGUGUAAAAGCCUUAGAAAACAUUCAGGCAUAGAAAGAACAUAGAAAGCAGAGAGCAUAAGCACAAACACAAUCUACAGAAUACAUUCAAGCAUGCAGACAUUACAAAAUACUAGCACUAACAUUCAAGCAUACAGAAUACAUUCAAGCAUCUAUUACUAAAAUGCUUUGCUGCUCAUGAUUAUGUUAACACUAACAUUCUACUUUCCAAUUGUGACAGUAGAGGAGCAUGAUGAGGGUAGUGACUGAAGAGGAUCUACUGAGAUUAUCACAGGAAUAACUCAUACUAAAUGUGAGAUAUAGUUGCUAAAACAUUGGGAAGAUGUUUAAAAAUACAUAAAAAGGGUAAAAGGCUAACAAAAUUAUGAUGCAAGAAAGGUUUUCUUUCACUGCGCUCCUUCAUUCCGACAAUAUAUACAAGGUAAAGUGACAAAAGAACAAAAAAUACCACAGACAUUCAUGAGAUGUCUAAAAUUAAACUUGUGAUGAAUCUUGCAGGUACAUUUAGGAGAUGGAUCUAUGAACAUUCAAGUGAGCAAACCAGAUGACAGUUUCAUCACAACAAGAUGACAAUAUAAGCAAAACAAGAGCUGAAUAACUAUUACAAGAAAACGCCGAAGAAAAACACACUAACAAUCAUUGAAACUUACAUUUGCAGACAUUGGAGGCAAACUUGCAUAAUGAAGUGGCAGCAAGCGAAGAUGGGGGAGGAGAAUGUAAUCCCUGGGACACAAACCUGUUCUAUAACAUGAAUCUGCAACAUGUACACACCACAAAAUUCAGAAAUACAAUGAUGAACCUAAGAGAAAGUCAUAACAUUUCAGAAGAAAAUAACUAAAAGAAAUCCCUAAAAGUUGCAGGUGCCUGAAGAUGUUGAUCGCAGUAGAGCAGCAGCUAACACGAACUCAAGCACGGGUCAAAGGAAUGGAGAAGGAGAAAGAAAAGAACCAGAAGACUCACUUGAACAAGGAGACGAUGAAUUCCUCAAUGAAGAAGACAUUAAAGUGAGCUAAAUGAAAACCGCCCUAUAGUACUGAACCAAGCAAGGAACAUUGAAUACUAGCUAAAUAGUAUAUAGGAACCAAUGGUAUUACUGAGCAAACUAGACUUAAUUACAUUGAAAAAUAGAUAAAAUUAAUGUGCAAACAGUGUGCAAGACGGGCUAAAAUACACUGACAAAAAAAGGGCAGCCCGGUGCAUGUAGCUCCUGCUUGCGCAGGGUCGGGGAAGGGUCCGACCACUUUGGGUCUAUAGUACGCAGUCUUUCCCUACAUUUCUGUAAGAAGCUGUUUCCAGGACUUGAACCCGUGACCUCAUGGUCACAAGGCAGCAGCUUUACCACUGCGCCAAGGCUCCCCUUCCUAAAAUACACUGACAAAACCACUCAAAAUCCAAUAACAACCGAAUUAUUGGGUAAACUACACUCUAAUGUUGGGGUAAAUUACACUGAAACUACAUUCAAAUUACACUAUAAAUCCACUAGAAUUAAUGGGUGAAUUACAAUUAGAAGUCUGUAAUGCUGGGAUGAACUACACUGCAAUCACAAUUAAAUAACAUAGAAAAUUCACUCAAUACCACACUGAAAAAGGUUAAUUAAAUUAUAAAUCUGGUAGAAAUUACACCAUAAAUCUGGGACAAAUUACACUGCAAUACUGAGAUAAAAUUACACUGUAAGUCUACACUGGAACUACAACCAAAUAACACUGUAAUAUCCACUCAAUAUACACUGUAAAUCCGGAACAAAUUACAAUGUAAAUCUGGGACAAAUUACACUGAAAGACUGGCACAAAUUACAGUUCAAAAAUCAGGUUAAUUACACUGCAAAAUCUGAAAGAAAUUACACUAAUACAGUACUGAGAUUACACUGCAAGUCUGGGACAAAAUUACACUGUAAGUCUGAGAUGAAUUACAGUGUAAAAUAACACUGCAAAUCCAAUCACAACAACUGAGUAAAUGACCAUCAAAGGCUGAGAUAAAAUUACACUGAAAUUAAACUCAAACCAUCCCUGCAAGAAGUAAACAAACAUGGUACAAGGGGAACUAAACACCUACACCCCGCAAGAACAAAUCAGGAGGCGAAAUGUACUUAGUACAUGAACAGGAAUACACACAGGAGCAUCAGAACAUGAGCAGGAAAGAGCUAGGCAUCUGUACAAACCUCACCUACAGGAACAUGAGCAGAACAUCUAUAGAAAUCCCGCACACUACAUCUAUAGAAAAUCCAGCACCUAUAGCUACAUCUACAGAAAUCUGCCAUGGAAUCCCGCAUGCUACAUCUACACCUACAGAAUCCCGCAUGUUACAUCUACGUAGAAAAGGAAAACAACAAUUACAUCUACAAACUACAACAGGAGCACGCGCGCGUGUAUCACAAGGCCCAGCAAAUCACACAUACCAGCGGCUGCAUGAGAUGGCGAGAGGGCGACAUGAACUGACCUAGAUCUAGAACAACACAAGCAGAACAACAAACACGCGCAAGAGAGAGAGGAACAACCAACCGUGACACAGGGGGGCGAAGAGAAAGGGAAGAGAGAUCAAGCUCAGGCGGUGGGAGAUCUCGAAAUCUCCACGGACGGGGAGAAUCACAUCCUCUG